UGAAGCCGUAUUCGAUGAAAGUCGUAUGUACGGCUUGGAGCGAGAUCUUUCAUAUCUUUCGAGAUCGGGUGUCCGGAGUUUCUUGGGACACGCGGGUUUCUAUAGGCGCUUUAUUAAAGAUUUUUCAAAAAUUGCUACUCCUUUGUGCAGGUUGCUUGAAAAGGAUGUGACCUUCAACUUUGAU
rfam:Nicotiana attenuata strain TT chromosome 11, whole genome shotgun sequence.